UACGAACUGUGCAAACGUUAUUCGGAAUCACUGGGCUUAAAGGGUGCGUAGGCGGCUAUUUAAGUAGGGUGUGAAAGCCCCCCGGCUCAACCGGGGAAUUGCGUCCUAAACUGGAUAGCUCGAGUGAGAUAGAGGUGUGCGGAACUUCCGGUGGAGCGGUGAAAUGUGUUGAUAUCGGAAGGAACGCCGGUGGCGAAAGCGGCACACUGGGUCUCAACUGACGCUGAGGCACGAAAGCCAGGGGAGCAAACAGG
rnacentral:rRNA from 1 species